AGAAGGACUUGCUUUCUGAAUCCAGUGGCUCUGAGCAACCAAGAACAACGGAUGUAAAUACAAAGGAAGGGGAUGCCCAAGGAUUUACAGUUGUCAUGUAGAGGAGAAGAAGCCGGCAGCUCAGAGGGUAACUAGGUUGUACAAUCAGCAAUCUAUAUCGGCUUCUGUUCAUUGAAUAUAUACAGAUCAUAAACCUGAAACCAAGGUACCAAGAAGCAUCAGCUUUUUCCUUCCUCAAAUCUCUCACAUAACAAGUUAUAAUGUAGAAAGUCUCUCAUUUUUUGAGUGAGAAACUAGGAAUUCUAAUUUUUUUUUUUACUAUUUUGAGAUUUUGAUGAAUAAAAAGUCGUUCGUUCUCAAGUUCGGUGUCGGUGCAUCACUAUAUCAGAAUUUUACCAUGUAGAUGAUUAGUUAUUUUCUUUUUCUUUUUUGAUUCAGUUCAAUUUCCAGAACAAUUUUUUUCAACAGAUGCAUCGACGAAGCGGUGUUGCAAUUGAGGUAAAUUGCCACAAAAUAGAGGAUUGCAAUUGAAGUAUCACUUUAACUGGUUCUCAAUUUAUUUAUUCAUGAAGGUGGCAGGCAGUUCACACCAACUGUUAACUUAUUCUUGGGAAACAAACAGUUUCAUACAUAUAUGCGCAGGAAAUCAAGAAUGAAAUAUUGCAAUUUAUACACAGGUCAGAGUUUUGCUCUGUUUUGUCUAUGUUGUCACUGCAAAACCCAAUGAUGUCCUACUGUCACCACGAAUCUUUAGACAUGACACGAUCCUCGUACUAGGGAUGUCCACCAGGUGGUGCUUUAGGAGAUGCUUGACUGGGUUUUCUUGGAUGAUCACGGUCCCUGCCUGCGUUUGUUAAUAUCCGAAGGGGUCG
rnacentral:lncRNA from 1 species